rnacentral:rRNA from 1 species
CCUACGGGAGACAGCAGUGGGGAAUAUUGCGCAAUGGGCGAAAGCCUGACGCAGCGACGCCGCGUGAGGGAUGAAGGUCUUCGGAUCGUAAACCUCUGUCAGCAGGGAAGAACGGUCACUGUGCUAAUCAGCAGUGAAUUGACGGUACCUGCAAAGGAAGCACAGGCUAAAUCCGGGCCAGCAGCCGCGGGAAUACGGAGGGUGCGAGCGUUAAUCGGAAGGAGUGGGCGUAAAGGGCUCGUAGGCGGUAUGUCAAGUCAAGGGUGAAAUCCCCGCGCUCAACGUGGGAACUGCCUUUGAAACUGGCAAACUGGAGGGUGUGUGCAGAUAGUGGAAUUCGUGGUGUAGGAGUGAAAUCCGUAGAUAUCAGGAGGAACAUCAGUGGCGAAGGCGACUAUCUGGCACAUAACUGACGCUGAGGAACGAAAGCGUGGGUAGCAAACAGGAUUAGAUACCCCAGUAGUC